rnacentral:tRNA from 1 species
GCUGUGGCCUAAUGGUUAGAGAGUUGGACCUAGGAUCCAAAGAUCGCAGGUUUGAGUCCUGGCACCAGCA